UGAGAGGUUUGUGAUGUGAGAAUAGGAGGAUUGGUGUUCGAUGUGUUCGAUUGGUUGUUAUAGUUAAUUGUAAACCGAGAAUCUGUCACUGUUUUUGCUUUUGCUAUUGGUUUAGUUGAAGUUAAAGGGAGAAGAAGAAGAAGGAAAACUGCAAAUUGAAGCAGCAUGGGUCUUCAAAAAGAGUUAAUUUUGUGGAAAAAUCGUAAGUAAAUGAGAUUAAACGUGUAUGGGUCUUCAAAAAGAGUGGUGUGAAGCAGUUUGCCAAAUACUACCCGAAAUAGUCGCUCUAAGAUGAGAAGUCACUUGUCUCCCGGAAAGAGCCAACUUUAGAGUUUAUUUCUGUAGUUAAUACGCUUUUAGUUAUCUGUUUAUGAAGAAUCUUGUAAGGUUGUGCUGCAAAAACAGUCAUUCAUACGAGUUGGCCUUAUUUUUUGUUUUGAGCAAAGAGUUGCCUUACUGGUUUU